rnacentral:rRNA from 1 species
AGCGAACGCUGGCGGCAGGCCUAACACAUGCAAGUCGAACGAACCUUUCGGGGUUAGUGGCGGACGGGUGUGUAACACGUGGGAACGUGCCUUUAGGCUUGGAAUAACUCAGGGAAACUUGUGCUAAUACCGAAUGUGUCCUUCGGGGGAAAGUUUCAUCGCCUUUAGAGCGGCCCGCGUCCGUUUAGCCAGUUGGUUGACGUAAUGGCUCACCAGGGCGACGAUCAGUAGCUGGUCUGAGAGGAUGAUCAGCCACACUGGGACUGAGACACGGCCCAAACUCCUACGGGAGGCAGCAAAGGGGAAUCUUGCGCAAUGGGCGAAAGCCUGACGCAGCCAUGCCGCGUGAAUGAUGAAGGUCUUAGGAUUGUAAAAUUCUUUCACCGGGGACGAUAAUGACGGUACCCGGAGAAGAAGCCCCGGCUAACUUCGUG